CAGCCUAGCAUCAACACAAUCCUCUACCUUGCCAUCUUCCAGUGCUCCUCUGACCAUGUCACAAAGCACUACUACAUCAUCCUCCAUGUACUCAACAGGUCUCUUCCCAGUAACUAUCUCAAGAGCCAAAACCCCAAAACCGUACACAUCACAUUUCUCUGUUAUCUUAACAGUUCUGCAUGCAAAUUCAGGUGCCAUAUAACCGAGGGCACUCUGAAUCUUGCUGCUCAAAACAUAACGAUCCAACAUCGGUAACAACCUGGCUAAACCAUAAUCCGCAAUCUUAGGUUCACCAGAGCUGUCAAUCAAGAUGUUGCUUGAUUUUAAGUUGUAGUGGAUUAUGUUCAUUUGGUGCAAAUGAGCCAAGCCUUUAGCUGCACCCAGAAUAAUAUUGAACCUCUCGUUCCAAUGGAGAGUUUUCCCACCGGAUCCUUCAUGGAGGUGCUUGUACAAAUCUCCACCAGAGACAAAUUCAUAUAUAAGAAGCUGUAGUGAUGGAGUCCAGUAAUAACCUUCAAGUGCCACAAGAUUAGCAUGACAGACUUUCCCUAAGUUUUUAACUUCCCUUUCAAAAUCUUCUUGGGACUUGACAAGACUUGAAACAGUGAGUUUCUUAAUGGCAACAGAACGUCCAUCUUUAAGCAUAGUCUGGUAGACAGCUCCGAAUCCUCCACGCCCAAGUUCACAAUCCUUGUUAAGAAGAGCAUGUGCCCCAGUACUAAAGUCAGGAUCGCCUGAAAACAUGACAAGCUUCCCAGAAUUGCCAUCUGUGGUAGGUGACUGGCUAAAGUCGUCGCCACCAGAAAAGGUAAGGGCUGCUGCCGAGCGAGAUGUGGAGGCACGUACAUGAAGAUUAAGCACGGUGAUUGCAAUGACACCAAUGAAAAUCGAAGCAGCUGCACCAAUUGCAAUGAGGGCGGAAAUGCUUAGGAUUUUCUUUCCACGAUGAAAGCUUUGGGAGAUUGUACCCGGAGUGGCAUCCGUUGAGUUGGGAUUUAGCACAAUUGGCUUUGGAAGGACUGUAGGGCAACUUCUGUUGACUGGUGCCCCACAAAGGGAUGGAUUUUCAGAGACUGAAGAGGGAGCUAUGGUGUUAAAAAAGCCACCAGCAGGUAAUUCACCAUUUAGCUGGUUGUGUGAAAUGUUAAACGACUGCAGGUCACCAUUUUUUAUACGUAACACUGAAUAACAUUAAACAUAAAUGAGAUAACAUAUGAGAUUUGUGCAAAAUAUUUGUCAAGGGAGACGACGUAAAGAUAUGAAUACAACAAUCAAGAAAAGGACACAGAGAAGAAGAAACCAUGUGAACUUGACCUCUUCAGUGGUAAAUCUCAGUGAAACAAGUUAAAGAUUCAAAAGAUGCAUUUAAAGAAUAAUAUAAUUUCAAGCUAAAGACAUGGGAGGCCUAAUUAAUAAUUAGAGAGACAUCAUCUUAUUCCGCAUUAUUCAAUUCCGUUCUUCUGACUGUUUUUCUUACUUUAUUGUGGCUUUCUCUAUUCCCUUUAGUUUCUGCUUUCACUUUCUGCUCUAAAGUAUAUGCAUCACCACUUAGAUUAUUUGCUUGGCAAUGGCGGCCAAGAAUCUUGAAAACCCUCAGAAAAUCAAUUUACUUUUGAUCUGCCUAGAUGUGUUAUGAUCUGUAACAGUGGUGCAUGCUCAAGUGGGAGAGCCCUUCUGUGAUUGGACUAUUCUUAAAUUCAAGAUUUGCCCUUUGCCAGGCGGGCUUUUCAUCUUUCAGUAAACAGUAAACACCAAAUGGAAUGGUGAAGAAUGUUUCACAAUAGAUCUAGCAACCAACCGCACAGACGCUAUUAUUCAUACAAUGAAGAAGAAAAAAAAAAGAGAGAAUCAUCUUAAGUUAAAUGGCUUGUUAGACCAACAUGAAGCGAAAUUGAAAGGAUAACAGUAAGUGAUAAUAUCCAACAGGGUCCCAAAUUAGAACCCGGAGAAAAGGAAUCCGGUAAACGAUUGAGACUUGGAGAAGGAACUAAAACAUGGAACUAGAGUUCAAAAAUUUACGAAAACAACAUAAGCAAAAGAAUUAUAGAAAUAACUGAAUUCUCCAUUUUAAAUGAACCAAACCGGAUUCUUCUUCGCCGGAUAAGCCAAUGUGAAUUCAUCAACUCCGGACAUCUACGAGUUAGUUGAAGUCAUCCUGACUCGUCCUGACCUUCCGAAGGGCAUCUAAUUAGCUCCAAUAUGUUAACCACUUCGGCCAUGACUGGCCUGUUUGAAGGCACUUGCGAUGUGCAGAUUAAUCCUAACUUCAUCACUGGAAUUGCCUCCUCGGCCGGAAACUUCCCUUGCAGCCUAGCAUCAACACAAUCCUCUACCUUGCCAUCUUCCAGUGCUCCUCUGACCAUGUCACAAAGCACUACUACAUCAUCCUCCAUGUACUCAACAGGUCUCUUCCCAGUAACUAUCUCAAGAGCCAAAACCCCAAAACCGUACACAUCACAUUUCUCUGUUAUCUUAACAGUUCUGCAUGCAAAUUCAGGUGCCAUAUAACCGAGGGCACUCUGAAUCUUGCUGCUCAAAACAUAACGAUCCAACAUCGGUAACAACCUGGCUAAACCAUAAUCCGCAAUCUUAGGUUCACCAGAGCUGUCAAUCAAGAUGUUGCUUGAUUUUAAGUUGUAGUGGAUUAUGUUCAUUUGGUGCAAAUGAGCCAAGCCUUUAGCU
rnacentral:lncRNA from 1 species